AGGAAGGUGGGGAGUGACGUCAAAUCAGCACGGCCCUUAUGUCCAGGGCUACACACGUGUUACAAUGGCCGGUACAGAGGGCAGCUACCUGGAGACAGGAUGCGAAUCUCGAAAGCCGGUCUCAGUUCGGAUCGGAGUCUGCAACUCGACUCCGUGAAGCUGGAUUCGCUAGUAAUCGCGCAUCAGCCAUGGCGCGGUCGAAUACGUUCCCGGGCCUU
rnacentral:rRNA from 1 species